CCUACGGGUCGCACCAGUGGGGAAUAUUGCACAAUGGGCGCAAGCCUGAUGCAGCCAUGCCGCGUGUGUGAAGAAGGCCUUCGGGUUGUAAAGCACUUUCAGCGAGGAGAAAGGUGGUGAGCUUAAUACGCUCAUCAAUUGACGUUACUCACAGAAGAAGCACCGGCUAACUCCGUGCCAGCAGCCGCGGUAAUACGGAGGGUGCAAGCGUUAAUCGGAAAUACUGGGCGUAAAGCUCACGCAGGCGGUUUGUUAAGUCAGAUGUGAAAUCCCCGGGCUCAACCUGGGAACUGCAUUUGAAACUGGCAAGCUAGAGUCUCGUAGAGGGGGGUAGAAUUCCAGGUGUAGCGGUGAAAUGCGUAGAGAUCUGGAGGAAUACCGGUGGCGAAGGCGGCCCCCCGGACGAAGACUGACGCUCAGGUGCGAAAGCGUGGGGAGCAAACAGGAUUAGAUACCCCCGUAGUC
rnacentral:rRNA from 1 species